AACCUGCCCAAGAGAUCGGGAUAACACCUGGAAACAGAUGCUAANACCGGAUAACAACAGAUGAUGCCUAUCAACUGUUUAAAAGAUGGUUCUGCUAUCACUCUUGGAUGGACCUGCGGUGCAUUAGCUAGUUGGUAGGGUAACGGCCUACCAAGGCGAUGAUGCAUAGCCGAGUUGAGAGACUGAUCGGCCACAUUGGGACUGAGACACGGCCCAAACUCCUACGGGAGGCAGCAGCC
rnacentral:rRNA from 1 species